AGAUUGAACGCUGGCGGCAGGCCUAACACAUGCAAGUCGAGCGGCAGCACGGGUACUUGUACCUGGUGGCGAGCGGCGGACGGGUGAGUAAUGCCUAGGAAUUUGCCUGGUAGUGGGGGAUAACGCUCGGAAACGGACGCUAAUACCGCAUACGUCCUACGGGAGAAAGCGGGGGACCUUCGGGCCUCGCGCCAUUAGAUGAGCCUAGGUCGGAUUAGCUAGUUGGUGAGGUAAUGGCUCACCAAGGCGACGAUCCGUAACUGGUCUGAGAGGAUGAUCAGUCACACUGGAACUGAGACACGGUCCAGACUCCUACGGGAGCAGCAGUGGGGAAUAUUGGACAAGUGGGACGAAAGCCUAGAUCCAGCCAUCGCC
rnacentral:rRNA from 1 species